UGAGGAAUAUUGGUCAAUGGGCGAGAGCCUGAACCAGCCAAGUCGCGUGAAGGAAGACUGCCUUAUGGGUUGUAAACUUCUUUUAUACAGGAAUAAAAAGGCUUACGUGUAGGCCAUUGCAAGUACUGUAUGAAUAAGCAUCGGCUAACUCCGUGCCAGCAGCCGCGGUAAUACGGAGGAUGCGAGCGUUACCCGGAUUUAUUGGGUUUAAAGGGUGCGCAGGCGGGCUUUUAAGUCAGCGGUGAAAUCUGGACGCUUAACGUCCAAACUGCCGUUGAAACUGGGAGUCUUGAGUAUGGAUGAAGUAGGCGGAAUUCGUUGUGUAGCGGUGACAUGCAUAGAUAUAACGAGGAACUCCGAUUGCGUAGGCAGCUUACUAAGCCAUAACUGACGCUCAUGCACGAAAGCGUGGGGAUCAAACAGGAUUAGAUACCCUGGUAGUCCACGCCGUAAACGAUGAUUACUAGUUGUAUGCGAUAUGAUAGUAUGUGACUAAGCGAAAGCGAUAAGUAAUCCACCUGGGGAGUACGCCGGCAACGGUGAAACUCAAAUGAAUUGACGGGGUCAUAGCUGUUUCCUG
rnacentral:rRNA from 1 species